rnacentral:rRNA from 1 species
UACGUAGGUGGCUAGCGUUGUCCGGAUUUACUGGGCGUAAAGAGCGCGCAGGCGGUCGUUCAAGUCGAGUGUGAAAGCCCCCGGCUCAACUGGGGAGGGUCACUCGAUACUGAUCGACUUGAAGGCGGGAGAGGGAAGCGGAAUUCCCGGUGUAGUGGUGAAAUGCGUGAGAUAUCGGGAGGAACACCAAUUGCGAAGGCAGCUCGCUGGGACGUUACUGACGCUGAGACGCGAAAAGCGUGGGGAGCAAACAGG